rnacentral:piRNA from 1 species
UUAUAAAAUAUUGUUAAUGCCUGU